GAUGAACGCUGGCGGCGUGCCUAAUACAUGCAAGUCGAGCGAACAGACGAGAGUGCUUGCACUCUCUGACGUUAGCGGCGGACGGGUGAGUAACACGUGGGUAACCUACCUAUAAGACUGGGAUAACUUCGGGAAACCGGAGCUAAUACCGGAUAAUAUUUAGCUUCGCAUGAAGCAAUAGUGAAAGACGGUUCUGCUGUCACUUAGAGAUGGACCCGCGGUGUAUUAGCUAGUUGGUGGGGUAACGGCUCACCAAGGCAACGAUACAUAGCCGACGUGAGAGGGGGAUCGGCCACACUGGGAGUGAGACACGGACCAGACUACUACGGUACGCCGCAGUAGGGAAUCUUCCGCAGUGGACGAGAGUAUGACAGAGCAGUGGCGCGUGAGUGAAGAAGGUUUUCGGAUCGUAAAAACCUCUUGUAAGGGAAGAACAAGUACGUUAUUAAAUGAACGUACCUUGACGGUACCUUACAAGAAAGCCACGGCUAACUACGUG
rnacentral:rRNA from 1 species